rnacentral:tRNA from 1 species
GCCUGGGUGGCUCAGUCGGUUGGGCGUCUGACUCCGGCUCAGGUCAUGAUCUCGAGGUCCGUGAGUUCGAGCCCCGCGUCGGGCU